GCCGCCUGCUAGGGGUGCCGGUGCGUCCGGCUGAGAAAAACCCUCUGAACCUGAUUGAGAUCAUCCUCGCGCAGGGAAGCACGCUCACGUUUUG
rnacentral:ncRNA from 2 species